AGAGUCAAUCGGGUAAUUACUUUUAGUCCGCAGCUUGCGCCACUAAGAGAGGAAAGUCCGAGCACUGCAGGACAGGAUGCCUCCUAACAGGAGGAGCUACAUUAUCUAGUAUGGAGAGUGCAACAGAAAAGAUACCGCUUCAUUUUAUGAAGUAAGGGUGAAAUGGAGGUGUAAGAGACCACCAGUCCUUUCUGAAAAGUAAGGAGCUUGUAAACCCCAUCUAGUGCAAGAUCAAGUAUACUCCAAGAUGUUGUCCGCAUCAUUUGAGGAGAGGGUUGGUUGCAGGAUUUAUUUAGCAAUAAAUAAACCAGAUGAAUGAUUAUCAAUAACAGAACUCGGCUUAUAGAUUGACUCUAUGA
rnacentral:RNase_P_RNA from 1 species